rnacentral:rRNA from 1 species
CCUUUGAUAUUGUUGGCUAGCGAGUAGAUGCUGUAGGCGGAAUGUGUGGUGUAGCGGUGAAAUGCAUAGAGAUCACACAGAACACCGAUUGGGAAGGCAGCUUACAAAUCUAUAUCGGACGCUGAUGCACGAAAGCGUGGGGAGCAAACAGGAUUAGAUACCCUGGUAGUCCACGCAGUAAACGAUGAUAACUCGUUGUCGGCGAUAUACAGUCGGUGACCAAGCGAAAGCGAUAAGUUAUCCACCUGGGGAGUACGUUCGCAAGAAUGAAACUCAAAGGAAUUGACGGGGGCCCGCACAAGCGGAGGAACAUGUGGUUUAAUUCGAUGAUACGCGAGGAACCUUACCCGGGCUUGAAAGUUAGUGACGGAUGCCGAAAGGUGUCUUCCCUUCGGGGCACGAAACUAGGUGCUGCAUGGUUGUCGUCAGCUCGUGCCGUGAGGUGUCGGGUUAAGUCCCAUAACGAGCGCAACCCCUAUCGUUAGUUACCAGCACGUAAAGGUGGGGACUCUAACGAGACUGCCGGUGUAAGCCGCGAGGAAGGUGGGGAUGACGUCAAAUCAGCACGGCCCUUACGUCCGGGGCGACACACGUGUUACAAUGGUCGGUACAGAGGGCAGCUACCUGGUGACAGGAUGCGAAUCUCGAAAGCCGGUCUCAGUUCGGAUUGGAGGCUGAAACUCGCCUCCAUGAAGUUGGAUUCGCUAGUAAUCGCGCAUCAGCCAUGGCGCGGUGAAUACGUUCCCGGGCCUUGUACACACCGCCCGUCAAGCCAUGGGAGUCGGGGGUGCCUGAAGUACGUUACCGUGAGGAGCGUCCUAGGGCAAAACUGAUGACUGGGGCUAAGUCGUAACAAAGGUAGCCGUAAGCC